AUACUGUGGGGGAGUUUCCAUGUGGCCCCAGGUGUGCUGAGGUGGAAGAAUGAAAGCUGCCCUUGAGAGCUCAAGAGAGAGAGGAAGGGAAACAGCUGUGAGCAUCUCUGGGCGGAAGAGACGGUAAAAUGCACACACAGGUGUUCUCAGACAACCUCUGGAGGUAUCCAGCACAUGGGGAAUCUCUCCAGUGACCCCAUAGCACAUCCCUGGAGCUUCAGCUCAAGAGGUAACUUGGGGACUGCAUUUAUCCAGUAAUGGUGGAAAUUGGACUUGAGAAUCUCCUUCUCUGAAAUCCUCCUGCAAAUCCUAGGAAUGGCUUUCUGAGGAUUCAGUAGUCCUGUUUAUAAAACCAACUCCUUUACAAGAGCGAGGCAACAGUACACAGUGUGAUUGUUGGAAUCACUGCAAUCACACUCCUCAACGUGUAAAGAGGGGAUGGGGCUGGAAACCCUGGCCUGAACACCGAGGUUCCCACAGAUGAAGACUAGGCCUUUGGGAUGACACAGCGCCAGUGUGGCCAUCAGGAGCCCCGAUUCUGCAUUCUGGAUUCAUACGCCUUGCUCAUGUCAAAUUUUGGAGCCUCAAGCAGUGGGCCUUCAAGGGCUCCUCGACUCAUCACUCUCCGCUAUGGAAAAGCCAGGUCGUCCCAGGAGCCCCUUCAGCCACGCCACGCUCUCAGUGUUGCUCAGCCGACCCAGGAUUAAUAUUUGGGGAGAUGAAGAAACAUAUUUCCAAAUCCCAGAGGGGAUCACUUGGGCCAAGCUCUACUCCUUCAAGAUGUACGAGUUGCCGCACUGAUGUCUCCACCUAGAACUUGUAAAGAUACUCAUGAAUUUCCACAAGCUGCACACCCACUCCUCCCAGGCUAAGUGCUGGAUAAGGGGAUCUCCAGCCCAAGAGGCCUCUCCUGCAGGGCCUCUGGGGUCCUUGGUGACCAGUGCACUCAGUCUCUUAGGAAGCCAGCCCCAGCCAGCGAGGUGCAUGGAGUCCACAGAAAAGGGCCCGGCCUUCUCCAAGAUGUUUGUUGCUACAUGACUACGAUCUGCGGCCCCAUUAUUCUGGCUGGUUAGUGCAUCAGGCCAAGAAUAAAGCAGUUAAUUUCCAAGUAACCUUGACUCGCAAUGCGGAGAGCCUCUCAGCACGUCAGGGCCAGCCACGUUACGAGGUCACUGCUCCCUUUAACAGCCUCUAGCGGGAAACACAAAAGCCUGCAUACUGGCUGUGUUCCCUUGCCCUGGACUCCAUCCUGUUUGGGUGGGUCUCCCUUGCUUGGCAUAUGUGUGAAGGCAUCUGUCUGUUUCCCCUACUCUAGUUUGGUCUGAAACUGAUUUAUUCAAAAUCUGUUAUGUAUUUAGCAUGUGUCAUACCCCGAAUACUGAGUUUCAGUGCUUUUAAAGUAACUUGUACAAUUAAUUACACUUUAUAUACGGGUUAUUAGAGGUUGAGCUGGCAGGAAGCAUGUAUGUAUUGGGCAAGAAUAAUAUGCAGAUGGUAUGUAACAACUAAACCAAUAGCUAACAUUUGUGUAAUGCGCUGUAGUUUGCAGAGCACUUGCAUAUGCAUUAUUGCUUUUGGUCCUCACAAGAACCCCCUUGAGGUAGGUAGCAGAGUAAAAAAAAUUAUUACUCCCAUUUUACAAAUGAUAAAUAUGGGACUCAGAGAAGUUAUAAGUGGCACAGUCAGAACUCUAGAUUAGAAAUUUUACUUAAGAACUCGCAAGCUGAAGCUGAAAAAUAUGCAACUUUAGCUCCUGGGGUUCUUUAGUUACUUUGUUUGAAAUUCUCUGUUAGUCUGCACUGACUUUUAUUUAACAUCUUUAUUGAGGUGUAACUGACAUACAUAAAACUGCAUGGAUUUAAAGUGCACAACUUGAUAAAUUUUGACAUAUGUAUAUACCCACGAAAUCAGCACCAUAAUUAAGAUAAUGAACAUAUUCAUCACCCGCAAGUUUCCUUGGGCUUCUUUGUAACCUUCUUCUCUCUCCUUCCUACCUUCCCCAGGGAAACACUCGUCUGCUUUCUGUCACAAUACAUUAAUUUGCAUUUCUUAGAAUUUUAUAUAAAUGGAGUCAUAGAGUAUGUAGCCUUUUUUAUUUUGCUUCUUUCAUUCGGCAUAAGAUACAUUCAUGUAGCAUAUAUCAAUAAUUCAAUCCACGUUUUUAUUUUUGCUGAGUAGUAUUCCGCUCCAUGGAUAUACCACAGUAUGUUUAUCUAUUCACGUGUUGGUGAAUAUUUGGGAGAUUUUAGUUUUGAGCUAUUAGCAAUAAAGCUCCUAUGAGCAUUCAUAUACAGCUCUUUAUAAAGACAAAUGUCUUUAUUUCUCCUGGGUCAAUGUGUAGAAGUAGAAUGUUUUCAUCAAAUACUAUGUGUAUGUUUCACAUUUGAUGAAACUCCCAAACUGUUUUCCGAAGAGGUUGGACCACUUUACAUCCCCCCAGCAGCGCAGGAGUGUUCAAGUUCUUCUCCAUCCUGGCCAAAACGAGCUAGGAUCAGUUUUUUUAUUUCAGGGAACCUAAUUGGUGUGUAGUAACAUCUCAUUGUUGUUUUAAUUUGCAUUUCCUUAAUGACUGACAAUGUUGAGCAUCUUUUCCUGUGCUUACUUGCCAUCUGUAUAACUUCUUUGGCAAAAUAUCUGUUAACAUCUUUUGCCCAUUUUUAAUUAUGUUGGGUGUUUUCUUAUUGUUGAGUUUUAAGAGUUCUUUCUAAAUACUGGAUCCAAGUCAUUUAUCAGAUAUAUGCUUUGCAAUUACUUACAGUCUGUAGCUUAUCUUUUCAUUCACCUCAGGGCAUCUUUUUAAAAUUUUGAAUAAGUCCAGUUUACCAAUUUGUUCUUUUAUGGAUUGUUCUUUUGGUAUUGUAUCUAAGAAAUCUUUACCAAAACUGAAGUAACAAAGGUUUUCUCCUAUUAUUUCUUCUAGAAAUUUUAGUUUUAGGAUUUACAUUUAGGUCUGUGAUCCAUUUU
rnacentral:lncRNA from 1 species